CACACCCUCCGCGGUUCUCUUUGUUGAGGUCCGUCGGGUCUUGGGGUUCCCUUCACGGGGGACCUCUAAAGUGGAAAGCCAGCGGCCCGCCUGCCCAUGAAAGACGUAGUAAACACAUGAACCGUCCGCGAAAGGGUCUGGGCGAGGCUCGCCUCGAAUCUAUAUCUAAG
rnacentral:misc_RNA from 1 species